GGGCCGCUGGUGAAACGGUAUCACGGUUGGGUAGCCACCUGACAGUUUGGGGUUCGACUCCCCAGCGGUCCG
rnacentral:tRNA from 1 species